AUGUUCUUCACAUAAAGAAAUCAUAAAUGUUUGAGGUAAUAAAUAUCCUAAUUACCCUCAUUUUGUCAUCCCACAUUGUUUGCAUGUA